ensembl:lncRNA
CGGGCUUUGAGGUUUCCUAUGCUCAGGAUACCAUCCAGUGUCACAGUCAACUUCCUGUUGCCUUCUGAUCAAGAUGUAGCAUAAGGUCUGCCUGCACACUGCCUGCACACUGCACACUGCUACCCCCCAUAAUGGUAAUGGACUGAGCCUCUGAAACUUGCCCAAGGGGGCCAGAAGAGGGCGUCGGAUCCCCUGGAACUGGAGUUACAGACAAUUGUGAGUUGUCAUGUGGGUGCUGUGAUUCGAACCUGGGUUCCUGACCACCGAACCAUCUCACCAGACCUCGUUUUGACUUUAAGGUCCGCCUUGGCUACGUAGCCAGUUUGGGGCCAGAAUGGGCUGCAUGAGAUCCUGUCUCAAAUGAGUAGCCCGGAGGUACAGCUAGGUGCUGCAGAGCCUGUCCUAGGUUCGAUAUCCAGCAAUGAGAAAACAAGACGACUCAGCCAGAAACCGGAUAAGGGCGCGCGCUUACCACCGUGCCUGACCGCAUUGUAUGUGUCUGCAGGAAAACACACACACACCAGUGUGUGCAGUGCAUGGAGGUCAGACGAGGGCGUCGGAGCUCUAGUAAGAAUGUCGGUAGGGGGCCAGGCUGUUUUGUGAGUUCUGGGAACUAAACUCUGGUACUCAUGAUUGUGCAGCAAUCUUAACUUCUUAGUCAUUUCUCCAGCCCAUGCCCAACUGGGAGUCCAGUCCAGGACCCCAUACAUGCCGAACAGGUACUCAACCAACUGAACUACACUCCCACCUUCUAUUUUGUUGUCUGAAGAUCCAGGGCUCGCGAUUGCUGAGUGGUCACUCUGAACUGUGCUUCACCACCAGACCUAUUUUAAAAUCUACAUCAACACAUUUGAGUUUCACAUGAAAUUUGUGAAAUUCUUGUUUUCCGUUCUUUUGCAGUUUGGGUUUAUUGAUCCAAGGAAGUCCUUAAUGUUAAUCCCACCAGUCGAGAAUAAAACCACUAUCACAAUUUUUUUAGCUGAAUUUGAAGCAAACAUUUUUAAAUUUCUGACCAGGACAAUGGCCACUGGCCAGGUCCAUAUUCAAGAUUCCCAGAGAAUGGUCACACAUUAAAUUAGUCCAGUGCAUAUAAAGGCAAACCCCACCAGGCUACCUACGUCCUGCCUUCAUCCAAUCUGGGACAAGCACACAUCCUUACAUACUUCCUGUCUACCCACGUCCCACUUAGGGGUGAUCAAGCACAGCCUGUGAACUUGGGGCAACCAACCUUGUUUACCUAAGUGCAAAACUGGUGGCUUGUUAUCUUCCAUAAGCAACAGUUCCCAGCAUUCCAGGAAGUUAUUUUCCCUGGGCAAGUGGGGCUUACAGGUUAGAGGCAUUUUUGCUUUAUGGGCUACUUAAGCACAGCAAUUUAAAUUUAAAACAUAACUUUAGCCCUCACAUUCUUACUUUAUGUAAUCGCUACUAAGUGCAAAAUCCAGUCUUGGGUCAAAUUUCACAUUAAGUUGUUCAACUAGAAGGAUAGUUCAAGCUGGCCUUGAACUCUCAGCCAUCCUUCUGUCUCAGCCUCACAAACGCUGGGGUCUCAGGAGCCAUCAUAUCCUAUUCCCACUUUAGUUUUUUCUAGUUUUUGUUUGUUUGUUUGUUUGUUUCCAAGACUGGGUUUCUCUGUGUAGCUUGGUGUCCUGGAACUCCCUUUGUAGACCAGGCUGGCCUCAAACUCACAGAGAUCUGCCUGCCUCUGCCUCCCGAGUGCUGGGAUUAAAGGUGUGCGCCACCACACCUGGCUAUGCAUCAUUUUUUUUUUUUUUUUUUUUUUUUUUGAGUUAAGUUUCUCACUCACCCUAGCUCUCACUGACUGGCUAGCCUGGCUGUCCAGCAAACACCCAGGAUUCAGCUGUCUCCACAUGCCACUCCUUGCCCCUUGCCUUCUGCCCCCAGCAGUGUUGUAAGUAUGUACCUUCAAUGCACAGUUUUUGUGGGGGUGUUGGAGAUUCCCAUUCAAUCCUCAUGCUUCUGUGGCAUGCGGUUUUAUGAUUCAUUUCUCCAGCUCCUUAAACAAAUUUUGUAAUAACUUAAAGAAGGGUCUUGCUGUGUUGCCCCAACUGGCCUCAACUCCUGGGUUUAAGUGAUUGAUUUCCUAGGGCUCAGCCUCCUGAGUAGCUGGCACUAAAGAUGUAUGCUGCACAUCCUGGGUUAUUUGACUAUUUUCUCCUAUUUCCUUGUGUGUUAAAAGUGUUGCAACAAGUCAGGCAUGGUGCUGUAUGCCUGUAAUCUCAAGCACUAGGGAGAGUGGGGCAAGAAAAUUAGGAGUUCAAGAGUAGGAUGGGCUGCAUAGUGACAUUCUAUCACAAAAGAAAGAGAGGGUUAAUGAGGUGGCUCAGAAGGUAUAGUACUUGCUGUGCAAGCCUGAUAAUCUGAGUUCCAUCCAUCAUGCUGUGGCAUGAACACACACACACACACACACACAUUUUAAUGUUCUUUAAUAAUAUUUUGUUUUGCUGGGCAGUGGUGGCACAGGCCUUUAAUCCCAGCACUCAGGAGGCAGAGGCAAGCGGAUCUCUGUGAGUUUGAGAUCAGCCUGGUCUACAAGAGCUAGUUCCAGGACGGCCUCCAAAGCCACAGAGAAACCCUGUCUCGAAAAACCAAAAAUAAUAAUAAUAGUAAUAAUAUUUUGUUUUGAUUAUUUUUUCAAGACAGAGUUUCUUGGUGUAGCCCUGACAGUACUGGAACUCCAUCUGUAGACCAGGCUGGUCUUGAACCCAAAGAUCCACCCUCCCAAGUGAUGGGAUUAAAGGCAAUCACCACAGUGUUUUUGACCAUUACUAAAUGAAGCAAUCUGAAAGACAAGAGGCCCCUUGGAGUAGUUUUGGAUUGCAGAGACUCAAGGUCAGUGUCUUAAAGUGAAAUGACCCAGAACACAUGGAGGAAGAACCCAGCCAGCCACUCUUGAAUGCUUUUGUCACCCAAGGGCCUGGAGGCAUAGGUUAGAGCACUCAGACAGGCUUCCUUCCAGCCAGGGCAAAGUGUCUAGGAGAGCUGGGCCAGUCUUUAGACCUUGGUCUGUCCACUUAAGGGAAUCUUGCAUCAUGCACAAAGGUCUGGAUUAGGGUUGGCCCACCCUGAACUACUAAGGUCCCAGGACUGAACCCUACCCUACUCCAGGUCACACUUUCAGUGCAUUUAACUCCCUGUUAACUGGGUAAAGAAUGUCAAGGCCCUUGUUAAAAUUCUUUGGCCGGGCAUUGGUGGUGCAUGCCUUUAAUCCCAGCACUUAGGAGGCAGAGGCAUCUCUGUGAGUUCCAGGCCAGCCUCGUCUAGAAGAGCUAGUUCCAGGACAGCCUCAAAAGCUAUACAGAGAAACCCUGCCUCGAAAAACUCCAAAAAACUCAUAAUCUGUCCCUUCAAAUUGACCUGUCAAUGUCCAUCAGACUGUGGCUACCCAAUAAGCCACGGUCACCUAGACCUAUAAUCCUAGCAUACAUGAGGAAGAAUCAGAAGCAUUUAAAAUUCUAGGCCAGCCAUACCUGGGCUAUAUGGUAAAACCCUGUCUCAAAAAACAUUUACAGAGUAAGUCCUAGGGGAAGGAGGAAUGGCCUAGUCAAGUGCUGGGCCAGCAUGAGUGAGGACCUGAGUUUGAAUAUCUAGCACCCAUAAAAAAAGCAUAUGCCUGUAAUCCUACCACUGGGGAGGCAGAGACAGGAAAACCCAGGAGAGUCUUUACCAGCCAAGUUAGCUGAAAAGGGUAAACUUCAGGAUCAGUGAGGGAUCCUAUCUCAGAUAUAAGGUGACAGAAAACUGACACUGACCUCUGGCCUCCACAUGCACUUACAUUGCUACAUACACAGAACACAUGGAUGUAUACAACACACAUACUCUCUUCCCAGCAAUAAAGGUUCUUACUGCCAAGUCUAGGACCUGAACUUAAUGUUCAGGACCACGUGGCGGAAUAGAAGGAGAACUAACUCCUGGAAGUUGUUCUCUGACUUCUAUAUGCUGGAGGCCUAGUCUAAGGGUGAGCAGAAGCAUGUAUGUGUAUGUAAACACACACACAGUUUAAGCCAGUCGGUGGUAGCAUCACCCUUUAAUCCUAGCAUUCUGGGAGGCAGAGGCUGGUGAAUCUCUGAACCAACCUGGUCUACGGAGAAAGUUCAAGUUUCAGGACAGCCAGGGUUACAUAGAGAAACCCUGUCUUACAGGAAUAAAACAAAAACAAAAACAAAAACCAACAAAGCAUAACAAACAAAAUGUAGCUGCCAGAGACUGUACCACCGAAUCCUUUAACCUCUUCUUGUCACUGCAGCUAAGAGGGACAAGGGUAGGAGACAGGCUCACUAGCUGCAGAUGUAAACCUCCUCUAUUCCCCACCCUUAGAGUGAGCCUUCUUAUCCAAGCCUGGAACUACAGAGGGGCCCUGCCAGCCCUCCCGCCACUUCCUCUCCCCUCCCCUCUAAAGAAGUGCCACAGCUGCCUAGACAAGCCUGAAUUUCCCAACCUGCUCAUAAAACCAGUUUCCCCAGGUCCUUGCAAUAUAGUUUCUAUUCAUUGGGUAUGCCUCCCCCAUCUAGUUCAGCUAUAGACAAUCUGUCUUUAAAAAAAAAAACAAAACAAAAAAAAACAACUCUUUUUUAAGGGAGCCCUCCUUUCUCCUGUACUAGGAUUAAGGAAGACAACUUAACACUAGAUAUGGCAUAAAGAUACAUGUUAAUAGACAAACACAUCAUUAACUCAGGACUGGGGAAUUAGCAGUUGGUGGUGCUUGCCUAGCACACAUCAAGUCCCUAGGCUUGAUCCCUAGCACCAGAUAAACCAGGCCUGCUGGUAAAGGCCGGUGACACCAGCACUUAGAAGUGAGAGAAUCAGAAUUUUUAAAUCAGCCUCCAAUACACAGUGAGUACAAGGCCAGUGUGGGCUGUAAGACUCUCUGUCUCAUCCAGAUGUGGUGGCACUCACCUUUGAUUCUAGGACUCAGGAAGCAGAAGCAGGCAGAUUUCAGAGUUCAAGGGCAGCCAGUGCCCAGAAUAAGUUCCAGGAUAGCCGGGGAUACUUGGAAAGACUCUCUGUCUCAUUAAAAAAAUAAAAUAAAAUAAAAAAAUAGAAGCAUGAAGAGCCAUAAAAGCAUACAAUGGCCAGGCAGUGGUGGCACAUGCCUUUAGUCUUAGCUCUAGGGAGGCAAGGCAGGUGGAUCUCUGUAAAUUCCAGACCAGACUGGUCUACAGAGUGAGUUCCAGGCCAGCCAGGGCUACAGGCAAAGAUAGGCAGAUAUCUGCCAGCCUGGUCAACUUAGCAAGUUUCAGCUCAAACAGAGCUAUAUAUAGUGAGUGAGAUCCUGUUUUAUUUUUGGGGGUGAGGAGGGUGGGAUUUAAACAAUUUAAAUUUAUGCCCUGCAAACAUGAUACAGACUACUGAGUCCCAGUGGGCUGGGGUGGGGUGAGGAGGCUGUCUUCAGUCCCUAGAACUGAUCAUGAGUUAGGUGAUCAUAUCACAAGAUGCCGAUGUUCUACAAGGAGAGGAUACAGUGACUUCUAGACAUCCUUCUAACUGGCCAGAAUAAACUAGCUGCUUCCAGAUAGUGAAUUCCUGCAGUCUGCCAGCUCCUAUCCCUGACCCUAAGAGUUGGCUAGCAUCCAUAUGACCAGUCACAGCCUACCCAGUUUGCAUAUGAAAUAAGGCGAGAUUUCCCUAAGGUAGCAAUUGUUUGGAAGUGAGUUUAAUGAUUUUUCCAUUUAUGCCUUUUGGUUUUGUUUUGUUUUUUGAGGCAGGGUAUCCUUGUGUAGCCUUGGCUGUCCUAGAACUCUCUGUAGACCUCAAACAUUCACAGAGAUCUUCCUGCCUCUGCCAGAUAAGUACUCGGAUGAAAGGCAUGGGUCACCACUGCCUGUUGACUUUUAAGUACUUACUGGUACUUACCUGUACUUAAGGUAUCCAGCUCAUUGUUUCCACCAUUACCAACUCAUAAAUGAAGCAGUUAAAAUGGGGCCUGGCACGUAUGUUAGUGACUAUCAGCUAUCAUGACUUCUUUCAACAUUCUGAACUAGGAACGUGUACUUGUUUUUAUUUUCGUGUGCGUUUGUGUGUGUUGCAACAGCGCACCCGUGGAAGCAAGCCAGAGGACAACUUGAUGGACUAUAAACUUCUUCUUCCAUCAUGUGGAUCUGCAAGCUGGAACUCAGGUUAUCAAGCUUGGUGGCAUGUGUGCCCAUCUCACUGAACCUCUAACUUUUUCUAAAUUAAUUAACUUUUUCUGAUGGAAUAUGCUGUAUAGACCAUGCUGGCUUUGAACUCAUCAAGAUCUGCCUGUUUCUGCCUCCUGAAUGCUGGGAUGCUGGAAUGCCUCACUACAGUCGUUCAUAUUUAUUUUGAGCCAAACUGCCACCAUAUUGGCCUGCUUGGCCUGGAACUAAGAGACCUGACUCUGCUUCUCGGGUAUUUGGAUUAAGACAGAAAUCACUAUACCAGCUAAUUUUACACCCCCACCCCCACCCCGCCCCAACAGGGUUUCUCUGUAACUUUGGAGGCUGUCCUGGAACUCACUCUGUAGACCAGGCUGGUCUCAAACUCACAGAGAUCCGCCUGCCUCUGCCUUCCAAGUGCUGGGAUUAAAGGCGUGUGCCACCACCGCUCGGCCUAAUUUUAUAUUUUAAAGAUAUGUUUUUUUUUAAUGUGCAUGGGUGUUUUGCCUGUGCAUGUAUCUAUGCACCACUGUCUUGCCUGGUGCCUACGGAGAUUGAACAGAAGGGAGCCUCGGAGCCCCUGAAACUAGUAACAGAUAGUUGUGAGCCAUCCUGUAGGUGCUGAGGAUUGAAAUCGGGUCCUCUGCAUAGCAACAAGUGCUCUUAACCUCGGCGCCACUUCUCCAGACCGCUGUUCUUUACUUUUUAGAGCAUUUCUGUAGCCAAGGGUUGAUUGACCCUGAACUCCUGACCCUCUUGCCUGCACUGACAGAAAGAGUACCAACGGGUUUUAUUUUUAAAAUGGCUUGUCACCCCGCCCCCCAUGAAAGUCUCUUUAACUGAAACUACUUUUUUAUUCCUCAAAGGCAUUCCCCAUCUGAAACAGCACCUCGAAGAAGGCUGGGUCGGUUUGGUAACCGCGAUGACUUUGCCUCAUUCGUGGAAAACUCCUAGCUCGGUGUAGGCACUUUAGGGUUAAACUACCAUCUUGGAAAUCAA